rnacentral:lncRNA from 1 species
CCCCAUUUGAAUAGAUGGCGGCCAUGUUGGAGUUUCCCACUCGCUAAUAAACGCUUAAAAAGCAACAAUAACUUUCAUCAUUUGAACAGUUUGAAAAUGUAUUUGGAAUAGGUUUAACUUAAUGUUUAAGUUCCCUGUUUAAGAAAUAGAAAACAUACGAGUCUUCUCAUUUCAUGGGAAUAUCCUGAGUCUGCAAUCACGGUUUCAAUUUUUGAAUUGCAGAAUAAUUAGAUGCACUAUCUAGUGUAUAUAAGAUAUCUAUGGUG